AUUGAACGCUGGCGGCAUGCCUUACACAUGCAAGUCGAACGUGAAAGGGGGCAACCUGGCGGCGAGCGGCGAACGGGUGAGUAAUGCAUCGGAACAUGUCCAAGUCGUGGGGGAUAGCCCGGCGAAAGCCGGAUUAAUACCGCAUACGCCCGAGAGGGGAAAGCCGGGGACCGCAAGGCCUGGCGCGAUUGGGUUGGCCGAUGUCCGAUUAGCUAGUUGGCGGGGUAAGAGCCCACCAAGGCGAUGAUCGGUAGCUGGUCUGAGAGGAUGAUCAGCCACACUGGGACUGAGACACGGCCCAGACUCCUACGGGAGGCAGCAGUGGGGAAUUUUGGACAAUGGGGGAAACCCUGAUCCAGCCAUUCCGCGUGAGUGAAGAAGGCCUUCGGGUUGUAAAGCUCUUUUGUCCGGAACGAAACGGUGCUCGUGAAUAUCGAGCGCUACUGACGGUACCGGAAGAAUAAGCACCGGCUAACUACGUGCCAGCAGCCGCAGUAAAAC
rnacentral:rRNA from 1 species